rnacentral:rRNA from 1 species
GACGAACGCUGGCGGCGUGCUUAACACAUGCAAGUCGAACGGAAAGGCCCUGCUUUUGUGGGGCGCUCGAGUGGCGAACGGGUGAGUAACACGUGAGUAACCUGCCCUUGACUUUGGGAUAACUUCAGGAAACUGGGGCUAAUACCGGAUAGGAGCUCCUGAUGCACGGUGGGGGUUGGAAAGUUUCGGCGGUUGGGGAUGGACUCGCGGCUUAUCAGCUGGUUGGUGAGGUAGUGGCUUACCAAGGCUUCGACGGGUAGCCUGCCUGGGAGGUUGACCGGCCACAUUGGGACUGAGAUACGGCCCAGUAUCCUACGGGAGGCAGCAGUGGGGAAUAUUGCGCAAUGGGCGGGAGCCUGAUGCAGCAACGCCGCGUGCGGGAUGACGUCCUUCGGGUUGUAAACCGAUUUCGCCUGUAACGAAGCGUGAGUGACGGUAAUGAGUAAAGAAGCACCGGCUAACUACGUG